AUGCAUUUGGAGAUUACUCGUUUUUCGUAGAAGAAAAGAUGCAACUGAAAACAAAAGAAAAGUAAGACUACAAAUCCGUUGUGGUUGAUUUCGCUUCCCUCGCGCAGAUCACUACAGGCGACCUUACAUCAUUCUUGUCGGAGUACAAAGGUUGUUGAAAAAAGAUGGAAUCGGCCCCAUUAAUGGUAUUACUCGCAACACCAUUCCUUGCUUUGUUGCUCAGCGCAGAAUGGGCCCUAGGUUCCCCUGAAGUGAAGUACCGGGACCAGCAGCAUCAUGGCAAAAGCGGGAUUAUGAAAUCGGAGCACCUUACCAUACAAGAAUACUGCGAAAGAUAUACAUGCGAGAAAUAUGAGUGUCCUCAAGGUUGCCAAUGCCCAGGAGUUUUCUACCGUUUAUUCGUCAACUCUAAAUGCUUUUUUCACGAGUUUAAAUAGAGAAAUAAAGUAUUUUUCGCCCUCUCG